CCUACGGGAGGCAGCAGUGGGGAAUUUUCCGCAAUGGGCGAAAGCCUGACGGAGCAACGCCGCGUGAGGGAUGAGGGCCUCUGGGCUGUAAACCUCUCUUAUCAAGGAAGAAGAUCUGACGGUACUUGAUGAAUAAGCCACGGCUAAUUCCGUGCCAGCAGCCGCGGUAAUACGGGAGUGGCAAGCGUUAUCCGGAAUUAUUGGGCGUAAAGCGUCCGCAGGCGGCCCUUCAAGUCUGCUGUUAAAAAGUGGAGCUUAACUCCAUCAUGGCAGUGGAAACUGUUGGGCUUGAGUGUGGUAGGGGUAGAGGGAAUUCCCGGUGUAGCGGUGAAAUGCGUAGAUAUCGGGAAGAACACCAGUGGCGAAGGCGCUCUGCUGGGCCAUCACUGACGCUCAUGGACGGAAGCCAGGGGAGCGAAAGGGAUUAGAUACCCCUGUAGUCCUGGCCGUAAACGAUGAACACUAGGUGUCGGGGGAAUCGACCCCCUCGGUGUCGUAGCCAACGCGUUAAGUGUUCCGCCUGGGGAGUACGCACGCAAGUGUGAAACUCAAAGGAAUUGACGG
rnacentral:rRNA from 1 species